rnacentral:rRNA from 1 species
UACAGAGGUCUCAAGCGUUGUUCGGAUUCAUUGGGCGUAAAGGGUGCGUAGGCGGCGCGGUAAGUCGGGUGUGAAAUCUCGGAGCUUAACUCCGAAACUGCAUUCGAUACUGCCGUGCUUGAGGACUGGAGAGGAGACUGGAAUUUACGGUGUAGCGGUGGAAAUGCGUAGAUAUCGUAAGGAAGACCAGUGGCGAAGGCGGGUCUCUGGACAGUUCCUGACGCUGAGGCACGAAGGCCAGGGGAGCAAACGGG